rnacentral:rRNA from 1 species
AAACCUACGGGGGGCAGCAGUGGGGAAUUUUGCGCAAUGGGGGAAACCCUGACGCAGCAACGCCGCGUGCGGGACGACGGCCCUCGGGUUGUAAACCGCUUUCAGUGGGGACGAUGGUGACGGUACCCACAGAAGAAGCUCCGGCUAACUACGUGCCAGCAGCCGCGGUAAUACGUAGGGAGCGAGCGUUAUCCGGAUUCAUUGGGCGUAUAGCGCGCGUAGGCGGCUGCCUAAGCGGAACGUCUAAUCCCGGGGCUCAUCCUCGGGCCCGGUUCCGAACUGGGCGUCCCG